GACGAGGGGUCCAAGCGUUGCUCGGAAUUAUUGGGCGUAAAGCGAGUGUAGGUGGCUUUGUAAGUCAGGAGUGAAAGCCCCGGGCCUAACCCGGGAAGUGCUUUUGAUACUGCAAAGCUUGAAUGUGGGAGAGGAUCGUGGAAUUCCAGGUGUAGUGGUGAAAUACGUAGAUAUCGGGAGGAACACCUGUGGCGAAAGCGGCGCACUGGACCACAACUGACGCUGAGGCGCGAAAGCUAGGGGAGCAAACAGG
rnacentral:rRNA from 1 species